GACGAACGCUGGCGGCGUGCUUAACACAUGCAAGUCGAACGGUAAGGCCCUUCGGGGUACACGAGUGGCGAACGGGUGAGUAACACGUGGGUGAUCUGCCAUGCACUUCGGGAUAAGCCUGGGAAACUGGGUCUAAUCCCGGAUAGGACCCUGGGAUGCAUGUCCUGGGGUGGAAAGCUUUUGCGGUGUGGGAUGGGCCCGCGGCCUAUCAGCUUGUUGGUGGGGUGAUGGCCUACCAAGGCGACGACGGGUAGCCGGCCUGAGAGGGUGACCGGCCACACUGGGACUGGGAUACGGCCCAGACUCCUACGGGAGGCAGCAGUGGGGAAUAUUGCACAAUGGGCGCAAGCCUGAUGCAGCGACGCCGCGUGAGGGAUGACGGCCUUCGGGUUGUAAACCUCUUUCAGCACCGACGAAGCGCAAGUGACGGUAGGUGCAGAAGAAGGACCGGCCAACUACGUGCCAGCAGCCGCCGUAA
rnacentral:rRNA from 1 species